rnacentral:lncRNA from 1 species
CACUUUCUGUCUUUGCUUUCUGUUUUGUAAAGGAAAUCUGAUUUACUUCAUGGAAAAGUUGUGAGGGUCACACAGGGAGCUUAGGUGACGUGCGUGGCUUAGCGUACUUCCUGCUCCUUGCAGCCCCUUCCUUCCUGCUCGUCCCUCCCCAUAGUGUCCACUCUCAGAUCCCGGGGCUGGGGGUGGGGAAGUGAGCCCCAGAAGGUCUGUGACAUUGGUCCUCAGUGCAGUGGGAAUUG